CUUACGUUGAAAAGUGAGCGGAUGAACUGAGGGUAGCGGAGAAAUUCCAAUCGAACCUGGAGAUAGCUGGUUCUCUCCGAAAUAGCUUUAGGGCUAGCCUCAAGUGAUGAUUAUUGGAGGUAGAGCACUGUUUGGACGAGGGGCCCCUCUCGGGUUACCGAAUUCAGACAAACUCCGAAUGCCAAUUAAUUUAACUUGGGAGUCAGAACAUGGGUGAUAAGGUCCGUGUUCGAAAGGGAAACAGCCCAGACCACCAGCUAAGGUCCCAAAAUAUAUGUUAAGUGGAAAAGGAUGUGGCGUUGCCCAGACAACUAGGAUGUUGGCUUAGAAGCAGCCAUCAUUUAAAGAGUGCGUAAUAGCUCACUAGUCGAGUGACACUGCGCCGAAAAUGUACCGGGGCUAAACAUAUUACCGAAGCUGUGGAUUGUCCUUUGGACAAUGGUAGGAGAGCGUUCUAAGGGCGUUGAAGCAUGAUCGUAAGGACAUGUGGAGCGCUUAGAAGUGAGAAUGCCGGUGUGAGUAGCGAAAGACGGGUGAGAAUCCCGUCCACCGAUUGACUAAGGUUUCCAGAGGAAGGCUCGUCCGCUCUGGGUUAGUCGGGUCCUAAGCUGAGGCCGACAGGCGUAGGCGAUGGAUAACAGGUUGAUAUUCCUGUACCACCUAUAAUCGUUUUAAUCGAUGGGGGGACGCAGUAGGAUAGGCGAAGCGUGCGAUUGGAUUGCACGUCUAAGCAGUAAGGCUGAGUAUUAGGCAAAUCCGGUACUCGUUAAGGCUGAGCUGUGAUGGGGAGAAGACAUUGUGUCUUCGAGUCGUUGAUUUCACACUGCCGAGAAAAGCCUCUAGAUAGAAAAUAGGUGCCCGUACCGCAAACCGACACAGGUAGUCAAGAUGAGAAUUCUAAGGUGAGCGAGCGAACUCUCGUUAAGGAACUCGGCAAAAUGACCCCGUAACUUCGGGAGAAGGGGUGCUCUUUAGGGUUAACGCCCAGAAGAGCCGCAGUGAAUAGGCCCAAGCGACUGUUUAUCAAAAACACAGGUCUCUGCUAAACCGUAAGGUGAUGUAUAGGGGCUGACGCCUGCCCGGUGCUGGAAGGUUAAGAGGAGUGGUUAGCUUCUGCGAAGCUACGAAUCGAAGCCCCAGUAAACGGCGGCCGUAACUAUAACGGUCCUAAGGUAGCGAAAUUCCUUGUCGGGUAAGUUCCGACCCGCACGAAAGGCGUAACGAUUUGGGCACUGUCUCAACGAGAGACUCGGUGAAAUCAUAGUACCUGUGAAGAUGCAGGUUACCCGCGACAGGACGGAAAGACCCCGUGGAGCUUUACUGUAGCCUGAUAUUGAAAUUCGGCACAGCUUGUACAGGAUAGGUAGGAGCCUUUGAAACGUGAGCGCUAGCUUACGUGGAGGCGCUGGUGGGAUACUACCCUAGCUGUGUUGGCUUUCUAACCCGCACCACUUAUCGUGGUGGGAGACAGUGUCAGGCGGGCAGUUUGACUGGGGCGGUCGCCUCCUAAAAGGUAACGGAGGCGCUCAAAGGUUCCCUCAGAAUGGUUGGAAAUCAUUCAUAGAGUGUAAAGGCAUAAGGGAGCUUGACUGCGAGACCUACAAGUCGAGCAGGGUCGAAAGACGGACUUAGUGAUCCGGUGGUUCCGCAUGGAAGGGCCAUCGCUCAACGGAUAAAAGCUACCCCGGGGAUAACAGGCUUAUCUCCCCCAAGAGUUCACAUCGACGGGGAGGUUUGGCACCUCGAUGUCGGCUCAUCGCAUCCUGGGGCUGUAGUCGGUCCCAAGGGUUGGGCUGUUCGCCCAUUAAAGCGGUACGCGAGCUGGGUUCAGAACGUCGUGAGACAGUUCGGUCCCUAUCCGUCGUGGGCGUAGGAAAUUUGAGAGGAGCUGUCCUUAGUACGAGAGGACCGGGAUGGACAUACCUCUGGUGUACCAGUUGUCGUGCCAACGGCAUAGCUGGGUAGCUAUGUGUGGACGGGAUAAGUGCUGAAAGCAUCUAAGCAUGAAGCCCCCCUCAAGAUGAGAUUUCCCAACUUCGGUUAUAAGAUCCCUCAAAGAUGAUGAGGUUAAUAGGUUCGAGGUGGAAGCAUGGUGACAUGUGGAGCUGACGAAUACUAAUCGAUCGAAGACUUAAUCAA
rnacentral:rRNA from 1 species